CUCGAACCUAGUACUAGGAGAUCCAAAUUUACCUUAUCGAAGACGAGUUAGUCCUUUUUUUAACGAUUUAAUCCAAACUGAUAAUUUUCACUGUCGAAAAUACCCAUCACGAUGUCACUUCUUCUUAAUUCAGUUCCCCUUUUUCAUUUUCAUGUCUGAAACAACUCUCAUGUAAAGAACAGAUCCUAAACCUAAUCCCUUCUCCAAGCGUAAAUUUGAGAAUCAAACAAACAAUCGAUUAAAUUUGAUGCAACUUGAAAACCUAAAUCGUUAUCAGCAGUAACAUUUUUUUCUGAAGAUUAGUCCGGGGGGAAAACUGAUGAGAUUCAAGUUCAGAAGAGUUUAUCGUUGAAAGCGAAGAACGUAAAACUAGGAUCUGGGAUUUCUAGUGAGGGUUGCACUGUCAUGGGAUUGCAUUGCCUGUAUAUAAUAUAUUCAAGGCUAUUGAGAAGAAGGAUCCCGCUCAACAGAAAGAGGCUUAUAUACUGGGCAGGUGUCUCAUGUACUACCACAUUAAGUGUGUAUUUCUCGUGUGGCUCCAACAUCCAUCUGUUGCGAUGUAUGCAUAGAAGGACCAUAAAAUAUCGGGAUGUCUGUUUUAAGGAAACAGAGAGUGCAUGUAAUACAAGAAGAUUUUGAGAUUUUGGCAGCCAAAGUAAUGAAGAAGGAAACAUAAAAGAACAGGUCACUCAGAGUUUAAAAGUUGAAAUUAAAGUCAGCAAAGCUCAGAUUUGGGACACUUCUGGUCAAAAAAAGGGUGCUUGUGAGUCACUAACUAAAUCAUGUCUGUUGUGGAAGCAUUACAGAGGAUGAUACUCAAAAGCACAGUUGCACCCAAAAGUACUAGUGAAACCGUGAAAGUGAUGAUACUCACAACUCUUUUUCUUUUCUUUUUUGAGCAGACAGUUGCACCCGUAGCUCGAAACUGGUUUGAUCCGGUCUGGUCGAGUUGUCCAUGAUUUAAUUCAAUUUUUGUUGGGUCUAUCUUGCAGAUGGUCAUUGUUGAUGAUGACGACGAUAGAGAAAAUGAAGGAGAUCUAAUAAUGGCAGCAGAAUUAGCAACUCAUGAAGCUAUGGCGUUUAUUGUAAACCAUGGAAACUAAGAUUUUCUGAUGUUAAUAGCAUGCUUCUUAUGUGUUUAGGUACUUGCUAUGUGUUAAAUUUUUGUAGCACGCUUGUUAGUGGUGCUUAGGUGGACUAUUUAAGUUGCCUGUUGUCUUGUCUUUGGAUUUUUUAGAUUUUUGGAGAUGUGUACAUAUUUGUACACCAAUCUAAAUUAAGAUUUAAAAAAGUGAAAAUUAUAUAGUCA